rnacentral:rRNA from 1 species
CUACGGGGUGCUCCAGUCGAGAAUCUUCGGCAAUGGACGAAAGUCUGACCGAGCGACGCCGCGUGCAGGAUGACAGCCUUCGGGUUGUAAACUGCUUUUCUAAGGGAAAAAUCUUCGGAUGAUGGUACCUUAGGAAUAAGAGGUUGCUAACUCUGUGCCAGCAGCAGCGGUAAUGACAGAGACCUCAAGCGUUAUCCGGAUUUAUUGGGCGUAAAGCGUAAGUAGGCGGAAAUAAUAGUCAGACGUUAAAUCACUGAGCUUAACUCAGUGACCGCGUUUGAAACGUUAUUUCUAGAAACAGGUAGAGGUUAGCGGAACUCAUGGUGUAGUAGUGGAAUACGUUGGUAUCAUGGGGAACACCGAAGGCGAAGGCAGCUAACUGGGCCUUGUUUGACGCUGAGUUACGAAAGCGUGGGUAGCGAAUGGGAUUAGAUACCCUGGUAGUC